AUUACUUUGGCAGAUUAGUGUAUUGAAUUUAGAAUUCAAAAAUGUAAUAUUUUACAGGUAAUA
rnacentral:tRNA from 1 species